GUCAGCUCGUGUCGUGAGAUGUUGGUUAAGUCCCGCAACGAGCGCAACCCUUGUCUUUAGUUACCAUCAUUCAGUUGGGGACUCUAGAGAGACUGCCGGUGAUAAACCGGAGGAAGGUGGGGAUGACGUCAAAUCAUCAUGCCCCUUAUGGCCUGGGCUACAAACGUAAUACAAUGGCGUAUACAAAGGGAUGCGAAAGGGCGACCUGGAGCAAAACUCACAAAGUACGUCUCAGUUCAGAUUGGAGUCUGCAACUCGACUCCAUGAAGGCGGAAUCGCUAGUAAUCGCGGAUCAGCAUGCCGCGGUGAAUACGUUCUCGGGGUUU
rnacentral:rRNA from 1 species